rnacentral:rRNA from 1 species
CCUACGGGUGACAGCAGUGAGGAAUAUUGGUCAAUGGGCGCGAGCCUGAACCAGCCAAGUAGCGUGAAGGAUUACUGCCCUACGGGUUGUCAACUUCUUUUAUUAAGGAAUAAAGUGAGGCACGUGUUCCUUUUUGUAUGUACUUUAUGAAUAAGGAUCGGCUAACUCCGUGCCAGCAGCCGCGGUAAUACGGAGGACCCGAUCGUUCUCCGGAUUUAUUGGGUUUAAAGGGAGCGUAGAUGGGUUGUUAAGUCAGUUGUGAAAGUUUGCGGCUCAACCGUAAAAUUUCAAUUGAUACUGGCAGCCUUGAGUACAGUUGAGGUAGGCGGAAUUCGUGGUGUAGCGGUGAAAUGCUUAGAUAUCACGAAGAACUCCGAUUGCGAAGGCAGCUUACUAAACUGCCACUGACAUUGAUGCUCGAAAGUGUGGGUAUCAAACAGGAUUAGAUACCCGGGUAGUC